GAAAUCAAGUGUGACGACCCCCUGAAUUUAAGCAUAU
rnacentral:rRNA from 1 species